UGCCAGUGCAAAGUAACAGUCCUUUGUUGCUAGAGCAUGUUGCUAGGAAACAAAGGAACCAGUGUUGGCUGACAAGAUGCCUUCAUGGGGCCAAUGCAUGGUUUUCACCACUGUUGGCGAAGAGUAGCCUUGCCAUGGCAGGAACCAGUGCCCCAAAGUCUUCUGAGAGCUCUACAGGUCAGGAAAGGGGAGCCUUGCCCAGAUGGAAAACUCUUGCUUCCCCAUAUAAAACAAGGCAUGAGGCACACAACUGAACAGAAGGAAACACAUGUGAGUGAGCAGCUUAGGGACUUCUGAGCCUCUAUCUUUGGAGAAGCUUCUCCUGGAUGCAUGCAUCGCCUCUGUCAGGAGUCAGAACAAUAUUUAGUAUGCAACUAACAGCUGCCUUGUCUUUACUGGAGUGGCUAAAGCACACUGGGAAAUAACAUUCUAAUAUCCGAUUCAUUGAGCUGCACCUAUUUGUAAUGCAUUAGACUGGAAAAGCAAUCAAAAUAAAACUGAAACAAAAGCUUAGUACUUCACCACAGAUGGUUCGAGAAGCACUGUUCCACCGGAUUAAACGAAAUCAAUGGUUUUCAAACCAUGUAGUGUCAAGUGCCCCAAGUAUUGAAGAUUAAUCGAGUAAGAAAGAACUCAAUGAAAUCCCACUGGUCUGAAGUUAGUCGAGUGAGCGUAUGUCUUACAUGAUUGCCGGGAAACAUAGUCAAUCAAAGCAUAUUUUGGCAUGCAUGCAGAGGACACUUCAGCUCCCAGAGUUGUUCUCACAUCAAACAGGCCUGAGUUUCAGAUGUUGCCAAGGAGGAUACUGCACAAAGGAGAACUUCCCUCUUACCAUAGCACAACAGGGACUCACAGAGACAGUGGAUAAAAGAAUUUCUUCCAGAAAUAAGAAACCGUGCGUAAACUGAAACGGAGAGCUGUUAUCCUUGCAAGGCCAUACAGCUAGGACUUCAUCAUCCCUACGAAGUAAAAAGUGCUGAGUGACCCCAAUGCCUUGCUUGACUCAAGUUUAUUGUUGCUGUUUGUUUCUGUUUUGAUAAUGGUUUUACCUUGCUCUAGCUCCACUCCUACGUAUUCGGAGGUUUGGUGCAGCAGGCACUUAUCUAUUUUAGCUCACAGUUUGCUGCCCCCAAAAGAACCACAUCCAGAUCUUACGGAGACAACUCUUCAUGACCUAGACUUUAAAUUGGAUGCAAUUAUAAGAGAAAUUUUAGACCUUAUUUAUUGCCAUGAUAUUAUGGUAAAUGAGGAUCAUCAUUGUUUCAACCCCUCAUUUCCUUGUCCCUCGAUUCCAUAGAUGGCUGUUUUAUCCUACAUCAAUUCAUCUUUUCUAAGUUGUGAUUAUCUUCCACAUUCUUUCUUUGCAAGUUGAAGUUUCAAGGAAAAGUUUGCUCUCCGAUUUUAGUAAACCUGCUUAGCCACCACACCACUUUGGCUAUUUUAUUAUAAUGAUGGGCAUAUAUGACAAAGUCACAGUGAGAUCACUGCCACUGCUAAAUGCUGUUCCUUUCUAAAGACUGAUGUAUAGACUUCACUCUAUAUUUAAAAGUGAGUACAUAAGCUCAAAUUCUGCAAAUUAUUGAGUUUUCAGAUACCCCUGAUGUAACGUUUUUCAUUCCUUCAUGUGACGGUUAAAAAGAAAUAGGCACAAAGCCUUUGAUUCUUCUCUUUGAGAGGUGGGGUCUAGACCUCCUUUUCUUGAGUCUGGGCGGACUUGUGAUUCUGAGACCCUUAGAGAACUGUAGAAAUUACGGUAUGAAAGUUCAAAGGCUUGGUAACAAAAGGCAAAGGAGUUUUCUCUUUGUUCACUGGAAAACUUGCUGGAGCCCUAAGCUGACCUAUAGGAGAAGCCAUCAUACUGUAAGGCAGGCCCAAACCACAUGGUGAGACAUCAUGUAGGCACACCUGCUAAGGGCCCCAGAUCAGCUCAUGGCUGAUGGUCAGCGCCAACUGUCAGCCAAGUGAGUGAGCCAUUGUGUGGAUUUUACCCAGCUGAG
rnacentral:lncRNA from 1 species